AAAAAUGUAAUUUUUUAUAUCAAGUGAUUAAUAGUUAUGUUCUUUAAAGCUAAAUAUUUUGGCGGUAUUUUAAACUUUUCAGAGGAACCUGUUCUAUAAUUGAUAAUCCACGAUUGAUUAUACUUUAUUUAGAAAUUUUUAUAUCGUCGUAAUUAAAUAUUUUAAAAGAAUUUAAAUAUUUAUAAUUUUUAAUUAAAAAAUAAAUCAGAUCAAGGUGAAGUUUAUAAUAAAGAAGAAAUGGGUUACAUUAUAAUUAUAUUUGGAUAUAAAAUUUAAAAUUUUAUUGAAAUUGGAUUUGAAAGUAAUUAGAUUUUCAUAAAUUUAAUGAUUUAGCACUAAAAUAUGC
rnacentral:rRNA from 1 species